rnacentral:tRNA from 1 species
GGGAAGGUGGCUCAGUGGUAGAGUGCUUGCCUUGCAUGCAUGAGGCCAUGGGUUCGAUUCCUCAGCAUCACA